rnacentral:rRNA from 1 species
GACGAACGCUGGCGGCGUGCUUAACACAUGCCAGUCGAACGGAAAGGCACUGCUAUUGUGGUGUGCUCGAGUGCCGAACGCGUGCGUAACACGUGAGUAACCUACCCUUGACUUUCGUAUAACUUCAGGAAACUGGGGCUACUCCAGUAUCGCAGCUCCUCCUCCAUGGAGGGGGGUGGAAAGUUGCGGCGGUAGGGGAUGGACGGGCGGCUUAUCGGCUAGUUGGUUGGGUAGUGGCUUACCAAGGCUUUGACGGGUAGGCGGCCUGAGAGGGUGACCGGCGUCCUUGCGACUGAGAGACGGCGCAGACGCCUACGGUAGGCAGCAGGCGGGAAUAUGGCCCAAUGGGCGGAAGCCUGAUGCAGCAACGCCGCGGGCGGGAUGCCGGCCUUUGGGGUGUAAACCGCUUUCGCCUGUGACGAAGCGUGACUGACGGUAAUGGGUAAAGAAGCACCGGCUAACUACGUG